GCCUCCUCUCUCGGUUGGACCCAGUGCCCUAAGCAGCCGAGGAGAGACCCCCGGCCGCCCGGCUCGCAGGUAUCUUUUUAAUGCUGAAAUGGGCAUACUAAUUGUGAACGAUGCGGUAAGAAGCUCCUUCUAAAAUAUGCAGUGACUUAUUUACUGGAAUUUUACAGGCCAUGCACUUAAAGCUUCUUUUGCCUCUCAUCACGUGAACAAACCUCGCAAGCCUUAUUGCCAGCUCAGGAUUCUGCGCAGUAACAGUGACGCUGAAGCAAACCCCACCAUUAGACAGUGCCGAGAAAUUGGCCUGGGACCUACGGCGGGAGGAGAGACCUCGUUACCAGAAUUUGCUCACAGUUAUGCUUUUGGCAACUGGCGUGUCCAUGUCACUCGGAGCUGCCACCUCUGUGUCUUCAGACAGAGCUCCACGAGUGGUGGCAGAGCAAAUUGUAGUCUUCAUUUUGCAGUACCAAGAGAGACCAAUUAUUUACAUAUCCAAACGGCAGAAUCUACUAGGUCACUUCCUGCGACCCAUUACUUUGAACCACAAGGCUUUCCAAAAGCCCUAAAAAGAAAUGGGAUGUAGUUUGGGGUCUAAAAGUUUUAUUGAUGUUUUUGGUGCGAGUUUCCUUUUUUAUUGUAUCAUCUGUUUUUUGUCCUGCCGGAUGAACAUGAAAUAUGGGAUGUUUCUGUCAUUGCUUACAAAGAAUGACUGUUUAAAGGGACUGUCAGAGAUCAGAAGACAAAUCUCUGACCCUCCUUAAGACUGUUUUAAUCUGAAGAAGAAGGUCUUUUAAUAGCUAGGUUUUUAGAGAGUUUAUUUUACUUUGUAAGGAAACUUACUGAUUCAUGCCAAGACUACUCCUUUAUAACAGCUUGAUUAGACUUUCAAUUCAGUAUUUCUUAUAUUCUUUUGCUUAUUAAUUUAGGCAAAUAUUUAACUCUGUGUUUAAAUGACGCACUAUUUUUCCACGCUUCAGACAUUUUUUCCUGAAUCCGAGCCUUGAGUUUACUGACCGUUAGUACAAUUUCCAGAAAUGUAUUGUCACCAGUGAGAGUGCUGCGUACCAAGAUAUACGCAUGUAGAUGUUAAGGGGGAGCACAGAUAAUGAUGUUUUUUUUAAAAAACAACUCCAUUCACCGAAGAAGCAGUGGGAAGUCAAAGUUAUUCAACAAAAAUGAAUAAGUGCAGCCUGGAAAGGUAUUUAUUUUCCAAACUGCAAGAGAAUCUUGAAAACAAUAGGCAUAACAUUAAAAAAAAAGCCUAAAUAAAUUGCUUGAUUAAUUUUCUAAAAAAACUCUAAAACGUAAAAAAAUAGCAUUUGAUAAUGAAGAAAAUCCUCUGGAGUUGUUUGACCUGGUGUUUAGGGAACCCUGGGAGAACUGGACUGGGAACUGCUCUCUGCUGCCAUUGCAAAAGUGUGUAGGGCAUUUAAUCUCUGUUAGUUGCCCUGUCUGUAGACAGAGAUCAUAACGUCGACUUCUAUCAAGUUUCUUGAAAUCUUUAAAUAUACAAGUUUAUUCUUUAAGGAUUAUUUUCAUAAUGAACCAAAUAGAGUGGUUCAUAAUGUACUUAAAAAUUGAUAAUUGGAUUUAGUGCUUCUGAGAUAAAAGACAGUCUGGUCUACUUAGCAUGAAAGAGCUGGUUCCUUAAUUCGGAGGUCGUAGGGGCAGCUCUAAGUUUAUUUUUAUUUAUUUAUUUGUAUACUCUUUAAUGCUAUCAUAUCUAGGAUAUGCAUAUCUCUGGAGACUGACAGAAGGUAGGGUGGCUGUGAGUCAAAACACUUCCACUAGGAGAUACAGCGAUCAGCAGAGUUCUGUCUUCCUCACAAAAACAUGGUAUGCGUUAGUUAGCAUGGCACAUAUUUCAAAUUUCAGAUACUAAACUUUCAGGAACACCUUUUUCUGUCCCAUUUGUUAAAUGUUAUUGUUGGAAGACCUCUUACCUUCAGAGCAAUGCAGGUUGGGUCAUGGGUUCUUGCAGGAUUUUACUAGGAAGAAAAGGUCUAAUGGAGAUGCACAGAGACCCUUGUGCAGAUGGCUUUGUUCUGCUGCUCAUUUCCUGGAGCUUCAGGAACUGCUCGUAGGUUCUUUUCUGAAGGAGUCUGAGCAGAGGUGAAUACUGCUCAAGUGAAAUUUAGAAAGUGGGAAUAUUUUUCUACUGGUCCUUGGUCUGUGCUUGUAUGAUAAGGAAGAUGAGGCACCCAGGAACUUUUGCACUGUAUUUUCAUCUUAAUUUCCAAAUUUUUCUUCUGCUGGGUGCUGUGCAACAAGGGAAUAUCAGACACUCACAUUGUGAAUUAACUGAGAGCUUAAGUGAAGUAAUUCAUUCUCUGCAAAAUUUCUCGGAUUUUUAAAUACAGCAAGAGCUAGCUGCAAAAGUAUCAGGAAAAGCAGAGGUUUUCAGGAGGGAAGUUGGUAUAGAAAACACUAAAACCCAGGCUAAUUCUAUUUAUUUUAUUCAGAUAGGUAGUGCCAUUGGUUUCUUUAGGAUUUCUUGAAAGAACAAGGCAAGAAAGGCUGGGGUGGUUGUGAAUCUCCUUCAGAAACUGUUGGUGAUGGAACUACAUUCCUGUUACUUAUUUCAGGCUACAUGAAAGGAAGUUACUGGGAAAUUAGUGGAACUUGCAGCAAACCUAUACAAGAGUAAAAUAAAACAAGAAGACUAUCUCUCCACAGAUAAGACUGGAAGUACCGACACUGUCAACAAUGGCAAUAGGCCAGUAAGCACGGAGCGGGUGCUGGGUGAUGUCUCCUGACCCCAGCUUCAUGAUGCUGUCCCUUAGCUUGGCCUAAGCUUGAGCUGUUUGGUAUGCACACAGCCCAGAUUGCUUAACCGCUCUGUCUCAAUAGCAGGCAAACUCAGCACUUUCCUAGGAGGUGUGACUUUACCAGAAAGACAAGUGGCUGUUUCUCACUGCGGAUGCAUGCAAGGGGAUCAUGUGGGCCUGAGACUUCUCUUGCAUAUCAUAAAGCAUGCCUUAGGUUUCCAUCUGAGUGUCGGUUUAUGCUCUCACAACAUAUAACCUCGGAACACAGGUCCGAGGUUAUAUAGACAGAGACCUUAAAAAAAUCUUGCAUUCAUGUUUGGAACUUUAAGGGUAGGAAAGGCCAACUGCAGAAUCAAAACCAAAUCAAACGAAUCAAAUGCAGAACAAAACCAAAUCAGAAAGGUUUAUCAGAGUACCACAAUUAGGAAUGUGGCAUUUUGCUGUUUAGAUUACCGUUGAAGUGGCAAAGAUGUCUCUUACCUGCUGCCUGCUUUGUGGCAGGUGCCAGCUCAUAGCUCAAGUACAGGUGUAUAAAACGGCUGUCAUACCACAGACACAUGCUUGCCAGAUGUCACCAAGGAUGUCAGACCCUAUUAAAAAAUAAGAAACCAUAUUAUUAUAUUAGAAAGGGAUGCGUUAGGAUUGUUGGUAAGAUAAAGAUGAAAAUAGAUAAAACCAUUACGUCCUUCCGAAUAAUCUCUCAUAUAUUAACUGCCUUUAAUUAGAUCUAGAGUGGUUUAAAUUCUUAUAUUUUAAUUGUAAAAAUGGCUAAUUUGUGUAUAGCUUUUUCAUGUUACUAUUCCACGUUACUUUAAUUGGAGUACUUAUGUAAGUUCAGGAAGCAGGAUUUCAUUCCAUCUGGUGAUUACUUAUUUACUUACAUUAAUCACACAGUCAGAAAACACAGAAUUAAAAAAAAAAAAGUAACUACCGGGAACUUGACUGAACAUACUAGAGAAAUUAAUUUGACUAAAUGUGUCCAUAUGGAGCCUGAAAAUUUCAACAUAUUUCAAAAAAUUAAUAUAGGAAACAAAUGGAGAACUGCAAAUGCUAGGAUUUCCCCAAGAAGCAUAAUUUUUCCUAUUAUUUGAACUAGCUUAUAUAUAAAGCUGCUUUUGAAGCUACUUACACUUUAUUAUUGUUAUAAUUCAUGUAUUAGAUAUACUUAUUGAAAUUGAAGCUAUUCCCUUUCAUUCCACUGUGAAUCUCUAACCCAAAUUAAAUACCUAAAAAGACCUAUUAUGUGACCUUAGGGACCGAAAAAAAAAAAAAAAGAAGAAGUUUCUACUGGGUCAUAUUAAGUUCUACAGUAAAAUAUUUUCAGACUUAAGCAGGUGCUUAACUCACCUGAGGAAGAGUAAUGCAUACUGUAAGCAACCUUUGAGAAGCUGGGCACUUUCCAGUUUGUGAAGCAUAUCAUUCUGGUGUCUUUCAAAUGCACUAAGGUAACCUACAGAUCAUUUACCAGCAGCAGAUAAUUACUCGAGAUCCUCUCCUAAAUCAGCAAGAAGCCUACAAGUGGAUGUGUAUACAAUAUAAUAUGACCAUCCUAUCUGCUCCUCUAGACGUGGAAGGCAUUUUGUAUUCUCUAAUAAUUUAGUUAGCCAGUAAUAUGCUGAAAUUCGCCGAGUGAUUUAUGCUGGCACAAGGUAUCAGAUUACAGCACAGACGGUGGUUUUGCUUUAUUGUUGGACAUUUGGAUUAC